CGUUCUCGUCCUUACUAUAAUAAUUGACGCCGUUGCGGUGGCAAUUGACACACAUCCUAUCGCUCCACAUAGCAAUGAUUCAUCUCUUUUGCGUAAGAUAUGCAGUGGAUCGUGCACUCGCUACCCAAAUGGAACGCACAUCGGCUGCCGUGUGGCACACUGCCAGUGUGUCGUCGCAUCAAGAUUUCGCCAAUUGAGGGCAGAAGGCUACUGUUAUCCGUCACGAC